rnacentral:lncRNA from 1 species
CAAAUAUGCCUCAUGGGAAGAACAGGAAUGUGGAUAAUGUCAAAAAACAAUUUCUACUUGGGUUGUGAGUCAAUGAAUGGGGGAAAGUUUUUCUCCCUAAUGGAUUUUGCCAUAUUAACAUCAAAAUCAAUUGUGACUCCGCUGGCUGUCGAGGACAUGUGAACGGCACACACAUCUGCUGUGGCGAAAGCCCUCCCUGUGACCUCGGGGUGGGACCAUGUGCUUUCCCAAAUCCUUGAGCUCAGCAUUGGAGGACAAGGUGGGAUGGAAUACGACCGCUACCACACGACAUGUCACAAAAGCCGGGCCGGAAGGAAGUUCCUCAGAGUGGCACGUUCCCACUCCGCAGUUGAGACUGAUUUCAGAAAAUGCACUCUGAUUGCUCUGUGAUUUUUCUGUCUCCAUGCCAUGAAUGGCUAGAGAGAAUGGAGUUAACUGGGAAACUGGGACACAGCAGACUUUUGCUUUUAAAACCUCCUUUUUCUGUUCAUUCAGCUGGCCCCGUGUUCUGUGCCCUUUCCAGAGCCUGUGGCCUACAAUGACCUGGUGCAUCUCACCCACAGGGUGCAUGUGCCCAGACACAAACCCGAGAUGGGCCGGCCUGGUUCUUAAGCUUCAGGAUGGAAACACAGGCCUCCCACCUACCCCUGCCCACCGGGGCGUCCGCCUUGGAUAGGAAACGGCCAAACUACCACCCACACGGGCAUGGUCAUCAUGGCAACAUCGUACGUAUGGAGGGUCCUGGCUCUUUGGUUGAUUAAAUCCUUGGGCAUUUUAUUUUCAAACUCCCCUUGUCCUCCACUGAACAGACCUGGACAAAUGGGAUGGGAGCCUCCUCUGUUUCCAUACACCCUUGCAUUGGCCCCUGUUUACAUGCUUAUCAGAAUGUAUUGCCCAUUUUUGUUUCAUUCCUCACCUUCUUCCAGCAGCCCUCACCCUCCACCCCCUCCUACCCCGACAUACACACAAAAGGGGAAGGAACCUUUUCAAUCCACCUUUUAAUUUCAGAGCCCAGCUCAGCCUGGGAUGGAGCUCUCUGGUUGUCCUGCAGUGAGCAGAGGUGAAAGUCACACUGGCCUCAGACCGUGCUCUGCAGGGACCAAUUCUCUGUCCCAAAGCCGGGGCCUCCAAGCGCUGGAUUUGACUUCCUCACAUCACAUUCCUUCUUGAACCUAUUCUGUACCCCACUCUUCCGUUAAGGUUGCCAGUGAGAACCUUCUUGGUUCUCAUCUUUUGGCCUUUCAU